rnacentral:lncRNA from 1 species
ACAGCACCAGUCACUUGGCUCCAUUACACAUUGUUAGGCGCACAUUUAAGAUCAUUGAUGUCAUGCUAGUCUGUACCCCUGUGUGACUUGGCCUAGGAACUAGUGCAAAAUUUGGUUUGUUGGUGUGCUUUUCUGGUUUAGGAGCCUGAAACAAGCACACUGUGCUAGAGACUAGUUGGGUAGCACCAGAAAUCCCCUGGAGGGAUUUCCAGGAGGAGGAGGGGGUACUGUUGUAUGGGAGGAGCAUCAGGAAGUCUCAGAGAAUCCAUGCCUAAGAGCUCCUUUUUGGUAUUAAGGACAUGGCAUUAUGUCAGGGCAUAUGCCUCUAUAGAUUGGCAAACCCCACAGUGCCUCUAUGGCUGAGGCUGUGACAUGAGACCAAGAAUGUGACUGGGUAGAAUGCAAGUGAAUGGGCCCUUUGAUCCAGGCUCGGGAGCUAACAGUUCCCAGAAUUCCUGAAUGAGUGCCUGUCCUGACUCACAUUCACUUGGAGGCUCAUUGACCACAGAGCCUUGUGACCUUUGGUGGCCACAGACCAAGAUUGUUUUCUAGCACUGCAUGUCCUACAGUCUUGUAAGUUUAAAAAGUGCUUAUCCAAAUGUAAGUUUUAACAUUUUUAUAAAAAUAAGUUGUUCUAUUAAAAAAUAAGUAUCAUUUUUAUAUGUAUUAUGUAUAAAUUACUUUGGUCAUACGCCCUCCAUUAUCCUCAUCUUUUCCUAGCAAACACUUCUUUCCAACAAGUUUCCUCAUGUUUGUGUCUGUGUGGUGUGUGUGUCCCACUGCAUCUAAUUAGGGUUGUUUAUUUGAUCAAGGCUAACUAAUGGCUAUACCACUAAAGAAUAUACCUUCCUCUUCCCAGCAUCUGUUACCUACCUGUAGGUCUUCAAGGAGGGUAGUACCUUAGGGUUACCCCACUAUCAUCUCCCGUCCAUGAUGUUAAGUCCAGUUUCCUGCAGGCAGGCCUGGUGCUAUGAAUCCAUAGGUACAACAGCCAUAUCAUGAUGAGCUCCGUUGACUACAAACAGUGCUGAUAGAUUGUUGCUUUCAGAGGACCUUAGUUCCCAGCAUCCAUGUCAGGUGGGUCACAACACAUAAUAUACACAUACAUAGGGGAAAGAAAAAAAAAAACUUUAGAAGUGUUCUGGAGUUUAAAGAAAUUAGCAUUGAGAAGUAGAGAGAUACUUCAGUUGUGAGAAUGCUUACCAAAUAAGCAUGUGAACUUGAAUUAGGGGGCCUACACCAUACAAAAUGGAGUCACAUCACACCGUAUGUUACCUCAGCACUGGGGGACAGAGACACAAAGAUCCCGGGAGCUGAAUUGCUGAGUUCAUUGAAAGACUAGUUCAGAGAAUAAGGUGGAGUGUAAUUGAGGGAGACCUUGCCAUUUCGUGGCUUUUCACACACCCAUAUGCACCUGUGUACACACAUGUACCCUGACACACACCAAAUGUGCCUUUCUUGUUUCGAGGCUUAAGAAGCAAAUAACUGACAUCUCUAUUCUUUCAAUGACUUUGCACAAGGACACAUACUAAUUUAGGACAGCCGUGAAAGUGUGCCAUGGUUGAAACUGUUAACUCCACUGCUAUCCCUGUAGGCUAUGGUGGGGAACAAGACAAACAUGAACUUGGAAGUUGUGAACACUUAUUACCUGUGCCCACUGUUUACUGGGAAUUACCAAGUAUCAAGUGCUUAAGAACAUGUCACACUAAAAUCUCAAAAUAAAGUUUGUUUUUUUUUUUC